AGUGAACGCUGGCGGUAGGCCUAACACAUGCAAGUCGAACGGCAGCACAGGAGAGCUUGCUCUCUGGGUGGCGAGCGGCGGACGGGUGAGGAAUACAUCGGAAUCUACUCUGUCGUGGGGGAUAACGUAGGGAAACUUACGCUAAUACCGCAUACGACCUACGGGUGAAAGCAGAGGAUCUUCGGACCUUGCGCGAUUGAAUGAGCCGAGGUCGGAUUCGCUAGUUGGCGGGGUAAAGGCCCACCAAGGCGACGAUCCGUAGCUGGUCUGAGAGGAGGAUCAGCCAAAAUGGACAUGAGACACGGUCCAGACUCCUACGGGGGGCAGCAAGGGGGAAUAUUGGACAAUGGGCGCAAGCCUGAUCCAGCCAUACCGCGUGGGUGAAGAAGGCCUUCGGGUUGUAAAGCCCUUUUGUUGGGAAAGAAAUCCAGCUGGCUAAUACCCGGUUGGGAUGACGGUACCCAAAGAAUAAGCACCGGCUAACUUCGUGCCAGCAGCCGCCGUAA
rnacentral:rRNA from 1 species